GAAAUGCGAUAAUUAAUGUGAAUUGCAGAAUUCAGUGAAUCAUCGAGUCUUUGAACGCACAUUGCGCCCCCUGGUAUUCCGGGGGCAUGUCUGUCCGAGCGUCAUUGCUGCCCUCAAGCACGGCUUGUGUGUUGGGCUUCCGUCCCUGGCAACGGGGACGGGCCCAAAAGGCAGUGGCGGCACCAUGUCUGGUCCUCGAGCGUAUGGGGCUUUGUCACCCGCUCCCGUAGGUCCAGCUGGCAGCUAGCCUCGCAACCAAUCUUUUUAACCAGGUUGACCUCGGAUCAGGUAGGGAUACCCGCUGAACUUAAGC
rnacentral:misc_RNA from 1 species